GCAUUGGUGGUUCAGUGGUAGAAUUCUCCCAUGACACGCGAGAGACCCGUGUCAGAUUCCCGGACAAUGCA
rnacentral:tRNA from 1 species